UACGAAGGGGGCUAGCGUUGCUCGGAAUUACUGGGCGUAAAGCGCACGUAGGCGGUCUUUUAAGUCGGGGGUGAAAUCCUGGAGCUCAACUCCAGGACUGCCUUCGAUACUGGAAGACUUGAGUCCGGGAGAGGUGAGUGGAACUGCGAGUGUAGAGGUGAAAUUCGUAGAUAUUCGCAAGAACACCAGUGGCGAAGGCGGCUCACUGGCCCGGUACUGACGCUGAGGUGCGAAAGCGUGGGGAGCAAACAGG
rnacentral:rRNA from 1 species